AGCCAUCCAUUCAGAAACACUACGAGAUACUGCACCAGUGCUGGAGGGUAUUAAGGGGGAGGAGAUCACUAAGGAAGAGAUUGACAUGCUGAGUGAUGCCUGCACCAAACUGAAGGGGCAGAAGAAUCUCCUCACCAAAGAGAAAGAGGAGCUGGAGGACCUGAAGGAUGAUGUGCAGGAGUACAGUGAGGACCUGGAGGAGAUCAAGCGAGAGCUGUCCAAAACAGGACAGGAGAAAGUGGUGGAGGAGUCUAAAGCAAGCCG